AUACGAAGGGGGCUAGCGUUGUUCGGAAUUACUGGGCGUAAAGCGCGCGUAGGCGGAUUGGUCAGUUAGGGGUGAAAUCCCAGGGCUUAACCCUGGAACUGCCUCUAAUACUGCCAGUCUUGAGUUCGGGAGAGGUGAGUGGAAUUCCUAGUGUAGAGGUGAAAUUCGUAGAUAUUAGGAAGAACACCAGUGGCGAAGGCGGCUCACUGGCCCGAUACUGACGCUGAGGCGCGAAAGCGUGGGGAGCAAACAGGAUUGGAAACCCUUGUAGUCC
rnacentral:rRNA from 1 species